rnacentral:rRNA from 1 species
AACGUAGGACGCAAGCGUUAUCCGGAGUUACUGGGCGUAAAGCGCGUGUAGGCGGCUAAGCAAGUCGGGCGUGAAAUCCCACCGCUCAACGGUGGAAGUGCACCCGAAACUGCAUAGCUAGAGUCCUGGAGAGGAAGGUGGAAUGCUUGGUGUAGAGGUGAAAUUCGUAGAUAUCAAGCGGAACACCGGUGGCGAAGGCGGCCUUCUGGACAGUGACGUGACGCUGAGACGCGAAAGCGGUGGGGAGCAAACAGG